GGAGGCGUGCCAGAGAGGCCGAAUGGGCGACACUGGAAAUGUCGUAUAUCCGAAAGGGUAUCAGAGGUUCGAAUCCUCUCGCCUCCGCCA
rnacentral:tRNA from 1 species